AUGACAUUAGCAAGUGUGUCCCACCUGAUUCCAUCCCGAACUCAGAAGUGAAACCACUUAGCGCCGAUGGUAGUGUGGUGCGUCCAUGCGAGAGUAGGA
rnacentral:rRNA from 1 species